rnacentral:rRNA from 1 species
AGUGAACGCUGGCGGUAGGCCUAACACAUACAAGUCGAACGGCAGCACAGUAAGAGCUUGCUCUUACGGGUGGCGAGUGGCGGACGGGUGAGGAAUACAUCGGAAUCUACUUUUUCGUGGGGGAUAACGUAGGGAAACUUACGCUAAUACCGCAUACGACCUACGGGUGAAAGCAGGGGAUCUUCGGACCUUGCGCGAUUGAAUGAGCCGAUGUCGGAUUAGCUAGUUGGCGGGGUAAAGGCCCACCAAGGCGACGAUCCGUAGCUGGUCUGAGAGGAUGAUCAGCCACACUGGAACUGAGACACGGUCCAGACUCCUACGGGAGGCAGCAGUGGGGAAUAUUGGACAAUGGGCGCAAGCCUGAUCCAGCCAUACCGCGUGGGUGAAGAAGGCCUUCGGGUUGUAAAGCCCUUUUGUUGGGAAAGAAAAGCAGCAGGUUAAUACCCCGCUGCUCUGACGGUACCCAAAGAAUAAGCACCGGCUAACUUCGUG